rnacentral:rRNA from 1 species
AUUGAACGCUGGCGGCAUGCUUUACACAUGCAAGUCGAACGGCAGCGCGGGCUUCGGCCUGGCGGCGAGUGGCGAACGGGUGAGUAAUGCAUCGGAACGUGCCCAGUAGUGGGGGAUAGCCCGGCGAAAGCCGGAUUAAUACCGCAUACGACCUGAGGGUGAAAGCGGGGGACCGAAAGGCCUCGCGCUAUUGGAGCGGCCGAUGUCGGAUUAGCUAGUUGGUGGGGUAAAGGCUUACCAAGGCGACGAUCCGUAGCUGGUCUGAGAGGACGACCAGCCACACUGGGACUGAGACACGGCCCAGACUCCUACGGGAGGCAGCAGUGGGGAAUUUUGGACAAUGGGGGCAACCCUGAUCCAGCCAUGCCGCGUGCGGGAAGAAGGCCUUCGGGUUGUAAACCGCUUUUGGUCGGGAAGAAAUCCUCUGGGCUAAUACCCCGGGGGGAUGACGGUACCGGAAGAAUAAGCACCGGCUAACUACGUG